rnacentral:rRNA from 1 species
UACGGGGGGGGCAAGCGUUGUUCGGAAUUACUGGGCGUAAAGAGCGUGUAGGCGGCUAGGUAGGUCCGUUGUGAAAACUCGAGGCUCAACCUCGAGACGUCGAUGGAAACCAUCUAGCUAGAGUCCGGAAGAGGAGAGUGGAAUUCCUGGUGUAGCGGUGAAAUGCGCAGAUAUCAGGAAGAACACCCGUGGCGAAGGCGGCUCUCUGGUACGUGACUGACGCUGAGACGCGAAAGCGUGGGGAGCAAACAGG